CAGCCGCCACGGGAAAACGAAGGGUGCAAGCGUUAAUCGGAAUUACUGGGCGUAAAGCGCGCGUAGGUGGUUUGUUAAGUUGGAUGUGAAAUCCCCGGGCUCAACCUGGGAACUGCAUUCAAAACUGACUGACUAGAGUAUGGUAGAGGGUGGUGGAAUUUCCUGUGUAGCGGUGAAAUGCGUAGAUAUAGGAAGGAACACCAGUGGCGAAGGCGACCACCUGGACUAAUACUGACACUGAGGUGCGAAAGCGUGGGGAGCAAACAGGAUUAGAUACCCCAGUAGUCCCUGUCUCUUAUAC
rnacentral:rRNA from 1 species